GCUUACGGCCCACACCUCCCUGAGCACGGCCCGAUCUCGUCUGAUCUCGGAAGCUAAGCAGGGUCGGGCCCGGUUAGUACUUGGAUGGGAGACCGCCUGGGAAUACCAGGUGCUGUAAGCC
rnacentral:rRNA from 1 species